AGCGAGGGCAGGGCCAGGCAGAGAGGUAGCCACAAGGGGCGGGCAGCCUGCCGGCCCUGGGCCUCCCCGUUUCCUCAGCCAGAGGGCCUGCAGGGCGAUGCCUUUUUCUUCCUCAGCGUGUGAAGCUCAGGAGUUGGGCCUCCCCGGAUGGCCUGCGGCCUCUGCCUUUGCCGCCCUGGAGGUGGGCAGUGAGACCCCAACAUGGGAACCCAGCCUCUGGCUCCAGAGAAGAAUCAGGCCCUAAAAGAGAGCCCUAAGAAAAUUAGACAAUGGUUCUCUGUUUCAUGAUUUUAAACCUGAUUUUGCUGCCGUGUUUGGCAAAGUUAGGGCCACUGUAUUUUCCCAGUAGUUCCAAGUCUGGGCCAUAUGCCUGCUUUUGAGGAGAGACCCUCCGAGAACACAGAUGCCCCCAGGCCACAGAGCAGGUCAUCAGGGCUGUCACCACCUUGUUCCCUGUGGGUGGUCUACAACCAAAGAUGGUCAAAAGCAUCAUUUGUAUCUUCAGUCAAAUCAAGCGCUCAAAGACACUGAUUUUUUGAUGACGCACCAGGGAGAACUUUUCAGCUGAGAUUUUUAAAAGCCUUAGUCUUUGGUGUAUUUUUUUAAGUUUUCAAACUGUAAGUAUUGGGCUUUGUAGUUUGAUGUAAACUCGGAGUAGUGGCAUUUGGGGCCUGUGACCAGUAACCAAACCAAACUUGUAGCCGACCAUGGAUCUGAAUAAACCUGUUCUUGGUCCUGA